rnacentral:misc_RNA from 1 species
CCUGUGCUGCCUCCCUCCCUCUUACGGACACCCAUGGCGUGUGCACGCGCCCGCGUUUUUUCACUAUUCACACCGGCACUGCUCCUGGCAUGCUUCUGGCCACCGCUGUGCAAAUCCGCAAUCCCAUCACUCCAGCGUAUCGUGGACGUGGCACCAUCCCCUCACUCGCUUCCGUCCUCAUUCCCGCCCUUUUUUUUUUCUCGAAGUCUCUCCCUCUGACUCCCUCAUGCAUCUUGUGAAUCCCUUUGCCCUUUGAUGGCUUCUCCGUGAAGGGACACACAACCGAAAAGGAGAAAGAAAAACGCUCUGAGUAAAACACACGCGCGUGUAUGCCUGGGAGUGCCACUGCGGGAUCGUUCCCGUGAACAUUCUCCCAUUCUCUGUCCAGCCUUCCCUUGCUGCUAUUUCCUCCCACCCUCUCCUUGCCGUUCUCCCGUGCGUACCGGCUUCUCUCUCGCUUUUCCUUUACUAAGAUCGUUGGGCUCUCAGCAUCCACAGCACCGCUUCGGUCUUUGGCUCCGCUUCUCCUUCCUCUCUUCGUGCACGUGUGUGUGCGUGUGCAAAGCCAGCCCACGCCACCUUGCCAGCGCUCCACGAUCCACUUACAGCGAGCGAAACAGGCGCUCUCCCUUACCCGCUCAUUACGGGUGUUGGCGGCCUUUUUUUUUUGCAUUCACGCAGAACCAUCCCGCCUCCCUUUCACCGCUCUGACGUGCACUUGCCUUCGAAACGCGCGCGAGAGAAACCAGAACGCAGUUUCAGAGACGUGGGUCAGUUGUGCAGGUGGGCCUUGAAGCGUUGGCGCGUUGGGUGUGCGUGCUUUCUUGUCGCCCGGACUCUCUGCGAUUCGGUGCGCGCGUGCCUGUGUGAUGAGGUGCUUAGGUUUCAAUCUCCAUCGUUUUGUCGAAUCUCCGCCGCCGCCGCUACCGCCGUGAACCCUGCGGCGCGUUCAUUUUUUGCCGAUUGUUGGGUGUUCUGGCUGCGCUCAUCUCACUCGCUCUCUGUGGGUGUGCGUGCAAAGUCUUCUCUUUCUGCCUGCACUUCGCUCGCUUGUUAUCCUUCCUUCGUGCAUCAACUGCAUGCCCUCAAUAUGGGGUGCGCCAGUGCUAGAUGAAUCGCCAGUGUACACGGAAUGUGCCCUCGUGUAGGGCUCGGCCACCGAUGGCGUACCUCUACUUAUCCUCGUGAGGAAGAGUGCGUGGAGGGCGAAGCAGCAGCAAAGAGAAAGCGGUUGCCACACCUUGUAGCGACUACGCGGUUGCGCAGGUCCGGCAACGACGUCAGCGCCUGCAGCGUGCCGAUGCCGAUAGGGAGGGAGGGGCGUGCCUCGUGGCAAAUGGAGCCGCCACUCCGCAGCCGGCGAUUCGCUGACGCACACCGGCGCCGUGGAUGACGACAUCGGUUGCGACCGCUGCAGCACCAGCGAACUGGCUGGGCUAAUCGCGACGGAACAGCAGUUUUCGAGCGCCUCGCGUCGCACCUCAGAACCUCUCCAUUCGUGUAGUACCAGCAUAGGCAGAGUUGCGAUGAAGGUCGCACGCUCGCCGCUGCUGCGCCAUUGGCAGCUGGCAUUGUCGCCACGGCAUCCGCAUCAGCAGCUCGACAGCGACUUCGCCGACGACUCUGCCUCGAUUCACGCAAACCGCGGCAGAGGAUGGCGUGGCAGUUUCCACCUGGCCCACGACACGGGUUCCGCACACACGGGCCGGCGGCCGAGCUCGAAUCGUACGGUGACUACCGUAAACUCCCUCACGACAAGCUUCAUCUUCUGGGGCAACAACGCGGACGGCGUCGCGACUAUCAUCACGGGAGACGUGCUGCGCUACUUCUUCUGCGCACGAGGCGCCGCACUACGUCAUUGCGAAGCGCGACGUGGCAGCGGUGGUGGUGUUGUGCAUUUACCCCCGCGGCGGAGGACAGCGCCCUCAGCUCGCAGCUCUAACUCGUGCUGAUCCCGCGCGCCUCGUUUGUGCUGCGUCUGACCAACACAGGCGGGCGGGCGUACCUCUUCACCACAGCCGACACGCGAACGGGGCUGCGCGGCGUUUUUGAGGACCGUCCUCAAUUUAAUCCCCAUUAUUGCAAGACUGUGUGGGUGGCCACUCAUGCCUGAGAGGAGGCGGGCACAAUACGUGACGAUGCGAUGCUGUCCGCGCGCGCCGCGGAAACGCCUCCGCUGCCCAUCUCCGACUCGUUGCCGAAUCUCGUGAGCAAGCUGAUGGAUAAGCAGGCAAGCAACGUGCCCCUCGAUGCUGACGACUACCACUGGCUGGCGCACGAGCCGCCGCCGUGGCGACAGCGAAAGUCGGUUCCCCUGCACUCGUGGGGUUCAUCGUCCACUUGAGUCACCGGCGGGGAGGGGGUGGCGCACAACGGCACGACAUGGAAGCGGCCGCUCGAGCGCGGUGGAUUUCGCAAAGCCAACGAGCAGCGGGCUGCGAUGCCGGUGCCUCCGCAGGUCGCCUUUACAUCGUCUCCUUUUGCAGACGGUAUCUGGUACACCACGGCCGCUGGCCCUGCAUUGGCGCCGCCCGCUUGCCGCUGCACUCUACUUGAGACCUGUUCCCGGUGCUGCGCACCAUCGCAUGCCGUCGUUGGUGGGCGCACAAAUCCCUGCAGCCGCUCGCGGGCGUUUGGCAGCUGCGUGAUGCUCAUCGAGCCGCUAGGCGUCCUCUUGCAACUGUUCGAGACAUCGGAGGACAUCUCUGGCACGCUGCUCGUCGCCGUUGAUUGCGACACACUGCUGCCGUGGCAGCUGCACGAGCUCCUCUUGAGCGAUAGACGAAUAACGGUGUCUGCCCUUGUGCUCGCGAAACGAGGUGCCACACCAGUGAUUGAAUACGAGCAGGGUAGCGACGGCUCUCCCCACAGAGAUACACCGCCCCUUUCCUCGAUCGCGUGCACUCGGCACCGUCCGCAUCGCCUACGGCAAUGUGCACAGCGUUUUGGUGCAGUAGCGUCCGUAUGCCGCGGCGGCAAUAGGCGUGCUGCCGUGCAUGUGCAGCCGAUUCGCUCUGGGAGGCCAGCAGCCAAAGGUGAGCGCGCGCGCACACGUCCACGCCGUAGGGGGUGAGCUCUCCCAGAACCGUUCGCGUUGCGAUUGCGAAGCAGUUGUCCUUCUUUGUCCCGGCAGCGCCGUUUCCAUUCUCACCUCUGUACCACCCCCUGCCGCUCUCUCUGUUUUCCGCUCCGCUUCCCUGAGUUUAUGGGCCGCACACGUAUGUAAACAAG